CAGAGGUGGUGGACGUGUGGUUGGCCUCGUCAUCCAUUUAACAUCACUGCCUGCUCACGUCCACCCUCAGGGAAACUCCAUCAUGGAUCAACAUGGGUCACCAGACCAAAUUUGAAGAUCAUUAUUUUAAAAGCCAUGAAGGAAGCUGAAAAACUAGGGACGGAAAGCAAACAGACCUACUAGGAUUUGGAAUCUGCUGCCCCACCAGCACCAGUCCCGGGUGGCAGGAGAAGACCAGGGCAGACCACGGAGACACCGUUUUCUACGGCGUGAAGAAUCCGAUGGACGGCU